UGAAGCAUCAUUUACUUCUAAGAUUAACUGACCUGUCCCAUAAAAUUCAUUGCAAUACAACACAUUGUGCAUCACCAACCUGACCAAGGCAGUGCCACAGACCUGAGGCAAAGGUGAGAAUGGAACCUUACAGCUUUAUAAGAAUUUCAUAGCAGCGUCUUAAAUGCCUGGACAUUUUCUUUAGUGUAACUUUUUAAUAAGCAGGGGAAGGAAAAUGCUCAUGAAUCAGUUCAGAAACCAAGAAUUAGUUCUGGUCUGUAAUGUUGCUCCUGGGUAGUGUUGCUCUAGUGUGGCUCCAGUGUAGCUGCAUAUUUUGCUGUUAUAUUAAAACAUUGAGUUAUGGUGAAUGUGUUUAUUCCUUGGUGUCUGAAAGGCAACCAUAUAAUUCUGGUAUACAUAUUAAAAAAUUGUUUUCCAGGAUUUUUUCCAGUAAAAGUAUCCCCACUUCCAAGUAUUUCUGACUGUCUUUUUAUCUGUACUUCUCAAUUAGCUUUGAAGGAUGUCAUUGUGUACCCUCAGCCUGGGAAGUGAAGUAAUCAGGUAAUAUUCAGAAUCACUGGGCUGUGUAAUCUGAUUAUGAAUGUUUACCUUGUGAUUCUGCCGUAGAGGAGAAUCAAAGCCAUGGGAAGGACACACAGAGAAAAAUACAAAAAUGAGCUCUCAGAAGUUUAUUCUUCUGAAAUACAUAUUCUUAAUUCAAGCCAGGCUAGUAAAAACAGAGAUUAAUAACAAAAACCCUUUCAUUCUUUACAGUAAAUCUUCUCUUUUAGAGAACGUAGCAGAUCAGGUACAUGCCGGAUCAAGAAGGGAGGUUUUAAGUGGGAGGUACGUCCACUGGCAGGAACUCACAACUUCUGAACUCACAAACUACAAAGAAACCUGAGGUGACAGAACCAGCAAAGACUGCACCUUGAAGUCAUAUCAUGUGGUGCAUCAAAACAUGCUUCAACCCACAAUCAGAGUACAUUACUGUGUUACCCUUAUCCCAAAGCAACUACCUAACAUUCCAGUUGUGACUCUUGUUCCUGGUCUUGCUGAUUCAUUUGCAAAAUCAUAGUCACAAAAUGAUUAAUUGUUGCUAAUUUUUAAUUCUAAUAAUUGCUACUUAUUUUUGUGCUUAAAAAAAAAAAAAAAGCAAAGCUCUUUUUCCUAAGCAGAUAUUUUU
rnacentral:lncRNA from 1 species